UCCCGUUUCUGUCUGUCCUGGGUCAGACCUCUCCCAGCCCUUAUAUAGGCUAUGGUCGCCUAUCCCGGAGUGCCACGUGGACAUUGUCCAUAGGCUCAAGCAUACGCAAGCGACACAGGAUCAUAGCAGGUCACAGGCCAUCACCAUAAAAGGAGUUGUUUAUCACAGAGAGCGCUUGCUUUCGGGCUUGCGGCUGGCAGCAGUCUGCGCCAUCUUAAAGGCGGCUCCACGCAGCUCUCUACAGUAUCCCUUUCAUUUCUCGUCUAAUUACUUUAGCUAAGACUUCAGACACUAUAAAGGGCAAGAAUGGAAAAGGUUUCCCGCUCUUUGUGAUGAGGCGUGGUGGAGGGCACAGGGAGGAGGAAGGACGGAUGGAUGGACGACUAUGACAACGACUCUGGAGUUUAGAGAUGUGAUUGCACUGAACUUUCUGCUUGUUUGUUCCGGUACAGACAGGAAGUGAUGUGCAACUAGGGCCUGGAGUGGCUUCCAGCAUUUGCUGCACUCAGCUUGGGUCUCUGUUGUACACAUAUUGGGGGUUUGCCUCCGGAGCUUUUUCUUUUUUUCCAUUCAUUUGUGGAUCCAGAGUGGAAGGCGAGACUCUCUCCCUCUGCGGUCGGCCUGUUCAGUGCUCUCCGUUAAAGCCCGUGGCCCCUUUUAUAAAGCUAACGAUGGUCUCCUGUGA